rnacentral:rRNA from 1 species
CCUACGGGGGGCAGCAGUGAGGAAUAUUGGUCAAUGGACGAGAGUCUGAACCAGCCAAGUAGCGUGAAGGAUGACUGCCCUAUGGGUUGUAAACUUCUUUUAUAUGGGAAUAAAAUGUUCCACGUGUGGGAUUUUGUAUGUACCAUAUGAAUAAGGAUCGGCUAACUCCGUGCCAGCAGCCGCGGUAAUACGGAGGAUCCGAGCGUUAUCCGGAUUUAUUGGGUUUAAAGGGAGCGUAGGUGGAUUGUUAAGUCAGUUGUGAAAGUUUGCGGCUCAACCGUAAAAUUGCAGUUGAAACUGGCAGUCUUGAGUACAGUAGAGGUGGGCGGAAUUCGUGGUGUAGCGGUGAAAGGCUUAGAUAUCACGAAGAACUCCGAUUGGGAAGGCAGCUCACUGGACUGCAACUGACACUGAGGCUCGAAAGUGUGGGUAUCAAACAGGAUUAGAAACCCCUGUAGUC